UCUAAAAUUCAUGAGAGGGUUCUUGGACCUUGUGCAAAGAAGAAUUCAGGGCAAGUCCAUAGAGUAAAGUGAAAGCAAAUUUAUUAAGAAAGUAGAAGAAUAAAAGAAUG